AGUGAACGCUGGCGGUAGGCCUAACACAUGCAAGUCGAACGGCAGCACAGUAAGAGCUUGCUCUUACGGGUGGCGAGUGGCGGACGGGUGAGGAAUACAUCGGAAUCUACUUUUUCGUGGGGGAUAACGUAGGGAAACUUACGCUAAUACCGCAUACGACCUACGGGUGAAAGCAGGGGAUCUUCGGACCUUGCGCGAUUGAAUGAGCCGAUGUCGGAUUAGCUAGUUGGCGGGGUAAAGGCCCACCAAGGCGACGAUCCGUAGCUGGUCUGAGAGGAUGAUCAGCCACACUGGAACUGAGACACGGUCCAUACGCCUACGGGAGGCAGCAGUGGGGAAUAUUGGACAAUGGGCGCAAGCCUGAUCCAGCCAGACCGCGUGGGUGAAGAAGGCCUUCGGGUUGUAAAGCCCUUUUGUUGGGAAAGAAAAGCAGCAGGUUAAGACCCCGCUGUUCUGACGGUACCCAAAGAAUAAGCACCGGCUAACUUCGUG
rnacentral:rRNA from 1 species